rnacentral:misc_RNA from 1 species
AACCUAGCACACCUGCGGUGUGUACCUGCGGAGGGAUCAUUAUAGAGUUUUCUAAACUCCCAACCCAUGUGAACUUACCUUUUGUUGCCUCGGCAGAAGUUAUAGGUCUUCUUAUAGCUGCUGCCGGUGGACCAUUAAACUCUUGUUAUUUUAUGUAAUCUGAGCGUCUUAUUUUAAUAAGUCAAAACUUUUAACAACGGAUCU